rnacentral:tRNA from 1 species
GACCCGGUGGCGCAACGGUAGCGCGUCUGACUCCAGAUCAGAAGGUUGUGUUCAAAUCACGUCGGGUCA